UCCUUGAUAUUCUGUUUGAGUAUCCUGAAACGGGCUUUUCAAGAUCAGAAUAUCAAUUAAUUUAGAAUAUAGGAGUGCAUAGUGGCCCGUAUUGCAGGCAUUAACAUUCCUGAU
rfam:Pasteurellaceae bacterium NI1060 genome.